GCCUUCGUGGUGUAGUGGUCAGCACGCUCGGCGUUUAUUCGAUAGGUCCGUGGUUCGAGUCCCGAUGAGGGCA
rnacentral:tRNA from 1 species